rnacentral:rRNA from 1 species
GGUUAAGCGACUAAGCGUACACGGUGGAUGCCCUGGCAGUCAGAGGCGAUGAAGGACGUGCUAAUCUGCGAUAAGCGUCGGUAAGGUGAUAUGAACCGUUAUAACCGGCGAUUUCCGAAUGGGGAAACCCAGUGUGUUUCGACACACUAUCAUUACGUGAAUACAUAGCGUAAUGAAGCGAACCGGGGGAACUGAAACAUCUAAGUACCCCGAGGAAAAGAAAUCAACCGAGAUUCCCCCAGUAGCGGCGAGCGAACGGGGAGCAGCCCAGAGUCUGAAUCAGCUUGUGUGUUAGUGGAACGGUCUGGAAAGUCCGACGGUACAGGGUGAUAGUCCCGUACACCAAAAUGCACAGGUUGUGAACUCGAAGAGUAGGGCGGGACACGUGGUAUCCUGUCUGAAUAUGGGGGGACCAUCCUCCAAGGCUAAAUACUCCUGACUGACCGAUAGUGAACCAGUACCGUGAGGGAAAGGCGAAAAGAACCCCGGCGAGGGGAGUGAAAAAGAACCUGAAACCGUGUACGUACAAGCAGUGGGAGCCUCUUUAUGGGGUGACUGCGUACCUUUUGUAUAAUGGGUCAGCGACUUAUAUUCUGUAGCAAGGUUAACCGUAUAGGGGAGCCGAAGGGAAACCGAGUCUUAACUGGGCGUUAAGUUGCAGGGUAUAGACCCGAAACCCGGUGAUCUAGCCAUGGGCAGGUUGAAGGUUGGGUAACACUAACUGGAGGACCGAACCGACUAAUGUUGAAAAAUUAGCGGAUGACUUGUGGCUGGGGGUGAAAGGCCAAUCAAACCGGGAGAUAGCUGGUUCUCCCCGAAAGCUAUUUAGGUAGCGCCUCGUGAAUUCAUCUUCGGGGGUAGAGCACUGUUUCGGCUAGGGGGUCAUCCCGACUUACCAACCCGAUGCAAACUGCGAAUACCGAAGAAUGUUAUCACGGGAGACACACGGCGGGUGCUAACGUCCGUCGUGAAGAGGGAAACAACCCAGACCGCCAGCUAAGGUCCCAAAGUCAUGGUUAAGUGGGAAACGAUGUGGGAAGGCACAGACAGCCAGGAUGUUGGCUUAGAAGCAGCCAUCAUUUAAAGAAAGCGUAAUAGCUCACUGGUCGAGUCGGCCUGCGCGGAAGAUGUAACGGGGCUAAACCAUGCACCGAAGCUGCGGCAGCGACACUAUGUGUUGUUGGGUAGGGGAGCGUUCUGUAAGCCGUUGAAGGUGUGCUGUGAGGCAUGCUGGAGGUAUCAGAAGUGCGAAUGCUGACAUAAGUAACGAUAAUGCGGGUGAAAAACCCGCACGCCGGAAGACCAAGGGUUCCUGUCCAACGUUAAUCGGGGCAGGGUGAGUCGACCCCUAAGGCGAGGCCGAAAGGCGUAGUCGAUGGGAAACAGGUUAAUAUUCCUGUACUUGGUGUUACUGCGAAGGGGGGACGGAGAAGGCUAUGUUAGCCGGGCGACGGUUGUCCCGGUUUAAGCAUGUAGGCGGAGGUUCCAGGUAAAUCCGGUACCUUAUUAAACGCUGAGGUGUGAUGACGAGGCACUACGGUGCUGAAGUAACAAAUGCCCUGCUUCCAGGAAAAGCCUCUAAGCAUCAGGUAACACGAAAUCGUACCCCAAACCGACACAGGUGGUCAGGUAGAGAAUACCAAGGCGCUUGAGAGAACUCGGGUGAAGGAACUAGGCAAAAUGGUGCCGUAACUUCGGGAGAAGGCACGCUGAUAUGUAGGUGAAGUGAUUUACUCAUGGAGCUGAAAUCAGUCGAAGAUACCAGCUGGCUGCAACUGUUUAUUAAAAACACAGCACUGUGCAAACACGAAAGUGGACGUAUACGGUGUGACGCCUGCCCGGUGCCGGAAGGUUAAUUGAUGGGGUUAUCCGUAAGGAGAAGCUCUUGAUCGAAGCCCCGGUAAACGGCGGCCGUAACUAUAACGGUCCUAAGGUAGCGAAAUUCCUUGUCGGGUAAGUUCCGACCUGCACGAAUGGCGUAAUGAUGGCCAGGCUGUCUCCACCCGAGACUCAGUGAAAUUGAACUCGCUGUGAAGAUGCAGUGUACCCGCGGCAAGACGGAAAGACCCCGUGAACCUUUACUAUAGCUUGACACUGAACACUGGUCCUUGAUGUGUAGGAUAGGUGGGAGGCUUUGAAGUGUGGACGCCAGUCUGCAUGGAGCCAUCCUUGAAAUACCACCCUUUAAUGGCUGGUGUUCUAACGUGGACCCGUUACCCGGGUUGCGGACAGUGUCUGGUGGGUAGUUUGACUGGGGCGGUCUCCUCCUAAAGAGUAACGGAGGAGCACGAAGGUUAGCUAAUCCUGGUCGGACAUCAGGAGGUUAGUGCAAAGGCAUAAGCUAGCUUGACUGCGAGAGUGACGGCUCGAGCAGGUGCGAAAGCAGGUCUUAGUGAUCCGGUGGUUCUGAAUGGAAGGGCCAUCGCUCAACGGAUAAAAGGUACUCCGGGGAUAACAGGCUGAUACCGCCCAAGAGUUCAUAUCGACGGCGGUGUUUGGCACCUCGAUGUCGGCUCAUCACAUCCUGGGGCUGAAGUAGGUCCCAAGGGUAUGGCUGUUCGCCAUUUAAAGUGGUACGCGAGCUGGGUUUAGAACGUCGUGAGACAGUUCGGUCCCUAUCUGCCGUGGGCGCUGGAGAAUUGAGGGGGGCUGCUCCUAGUACGAGAGGACCGGAGUGGACGCAUCACUGGUGUUCGGGUUGUCAUGCCAAUGGCAUUGCCCGGUAGCUAAAUGCGGAAGAGAUAAGUGCUGAAAGCAUCUAAGCACGAAACUUGCCCCGAGAUGAGUUCUCCCUGAGACUAUAAGUCUCCUGAAGGAACGUUGAAGACGACGACGUUGAUAGGUCGGGUGUGUAAGUGUAGCGAUACAUUGAGCUAACCGAUACUAAUGAACCGUGAGGCUUAACCUU